rnacentral:ncRNA from 2 species
UGAAACAGCAUAAAAGUCUUGUUCGGUA